CCAGCAGCCGCGGUAAUACGUAGGAGGCGAGCGUUGUCCGGAUUUACUGGGCGUAAAGGGCGUGUAGGCGGUAGCGUAAGUUGGGUGUGAAAGCCCCUGGCUUAACCAGGGAGGGUCAUCCAAAACUGCGUUGCUUGAGGGCAGCAGAGGAAAGUAGAAUUCCCGGUGUAGUGGUGAAAUGCGUAGAUAUCGGGAGGAAUACCGGUGGCGAAGGCGGCUUUCUGGGCUGCACCUGACGCUGAGGCGCGAAAGCGUGGGGAGCGAACUGAAUUAGAUACUCAGGUAGUCCACGCUGUAAACGAUGGACACUAGGUGUGGGGGGUAUCGACCCCCUCCGUGCCGAAGCUAACGCAUUAAGUGUCCCGCCUGGGGAGUACGGCCGCAAGGCUAAAACUCAAAGAAAUUGACGG
rnacentral:rRNA from 1 species